rnacentral:rRNA from 1 species
AGCGAACGCUGGCGGCAGGCCUAACACAUGCAAGUCGAACGAACCUUUCGGGGUUAGUGGCGGACGGGUGAGUAACACGUGGGAACGUGCCUUUAGGUUCGGAAUAACUCAGGGAAACUUGUGCUAAUACCGAAUGUGCCCUUCGGGGGAAAGAUUAAUCGCCUUUAGAGCGGCCCGCGUCUGAUUAGCUAGUUGGUUGAGGUAAUGGCUCACCAAGGCGACGAUCAGUAGCUGGUCUGAGAGGAUGAUCAGCCACAUUGGGACUGAGACACGGCCCAAACUCCUACGGGAGGCAGCAGUGGGGAAUCUUGCGCAAUGGGGGAAAGCCUGACGCAGCCAUGCCGCGUGAAUGAUGAAGGUCUUAGGAUUGUAAAAUUCUUUCACCGGGGACGAUAAUGACGGUACCCGGAGAAGAAGCCCCGGCUAACUUCGUG